rnacentral:tRNA from 1 species
GCGGUUGUGGCUCAGUGGUAGAGUGCUUGCUUUAGCAUGUGUGAGGCACUGGGUUCUGUUCUCAGCACUGCA